UACGUAGGGGGCAAGCGUUGUCCGGAUUUAUUGGGCGUAAAGAGCUCGUAGGUGGUUGUUCACGUCGGAUGUGAAAGCUCAGGGCUCAACCCUGAGAGGCCAUUCGAUACGGGACGACUAGAGGUAGGUAGGGGAAAGUGGAAUUCCUGGUGUAGCGGUGAAAUGCGCAGAUAUCAGGAAGAACACCAAUGGCGAAGGCAGCUCUCUGGGACGGUACUGACGCUGAGACGCGAAAGCGUGGGGAGCGAACAGG
rnacentral:rRNA from 1 species